CACAUAACGGUAAUGGGACCUAUCGCUUAAUAGGAGAAUGGAUAAGAACGUCUGAAACCUCCCUCCCGAUUGCCCCUUUCACUGAACAAAUCUAAUCUAACAAAUCUAAAAGUUGACACCUUUUAGGUUUCAACUUCAAUUCCUUCUUCGAUCUUCGCGAUUCUGUGUUGCUUUCACAAUUCUAAUGGCGUUGGAGCUUUUCGUCUUGGGCUGUACCGGAGUUGUGGUCUUCCUCCAUGGCGCUAAUUUCUUCUUCCACGCUUUCUGGCACCGCUUCACCGUCCGAUCUCUCAGCUUCUUGGGUGCGAUUGGAUGGUAGGAAUUGGAGAAGCCGAGUAGUGGAUCAUUUAAUCGAAGAUGAACACGAGAUUGGAGAUUGUAUAUAUCGGGCAAUUAUGAUUUGAACUCACAAUCUAGGAUUACGAUUUUUAACUGUGAUAACGAUGAUGAAGUAAUAAUCAAAUUUACACAACGCAUGGUUUAUCAUUGAAUGUCGGUUGGCUGAUUAUCUAAUUUCUUGUGGAUUGUAAUUCUACUUCUCUGUGCACUGCGUUUCUCAUUUUUAUGACA